CCUGGCGGCGGCGUCCGCGUCGCCAGUGGUUUUUUUUUCUGUGUGUGGGCCGGAGGGAGAGGCGUCCGGAUCCGGUGGGGGCGGCAGUCCUCCCUUUUGCCGUCCCGGGCAGCUCCGCGUGAAGGCCGGACGCAUCGCGGGGCUGUGGGAGAGGUUUCUUCAUAAAGUCGGAAAUAAAAGCAUAUCAGUUAAGUACUUUUAUAAUUUAAUUAUCUGUGAUCUCUAAAUAAAAACUUGAUGUUCUUUUUAAGCCUUCUUUUUUCUUUCACUUUAGGUACCUGUUGAGAAGUUGCCCACGAUAGCAAGGUACUCAGACUCUUUCAAUAAAUUCUGCAUUCCAUGUCAAAA